GACGAACGCUGGCGGCGUGCUUAACACAUGCAAGUCGAACGGAAAGGCCCUGCUUUUGUGGGGUGCCCGAGUGGCGAACGGGUGAGUAACACGUGAGUAACCUGCCCUUGACUUUGGGAUAACUUCAGGAAACUGGGGCUAAUACCGGAUAGGAGCUCCUGCUGCAUGGUGGGGGUUGGAAAGUUUCGGCGGUUGGGGAUGGACUCGCGGCUUAUCAGCUUGUUGGUGGGGUAGUGGCUUACCAAGGCUUUGACGGGUAGCCGGCCUGAGAGGGUGACCGGCCACAUUGGGACUGAGAUACGGCCCAGACUCCUACGGGAGGCAGCAGUGGGGAAUAUUGCACAAUGGGCGGAAGCCUGAUGCAGCAACGCCGCGUGCGGGAUGACGGCCUUCGGGUUGUAAACCGCUUUCGCCUGUGACGAAGCGUGAGUGACGGUAAUGGGUAAAGAAGCACCGGCUAACUACGUGCCAGCAGCCGCGGUGAUACGUAGGGUGCGAGCGUUGUCCGGAUUUAUUGGGCGUAAAGGGCUCGUAGGUGGUUGAUCGCGUCGGAAGUGUAAUCUUGGGGCUUAACCCUGAGCGUGCUUUCGAUACGGGUUGACUUGAGGAAGGUAGGGGAGAAUGGAAUUCCUGGUGGAGCGGUGGAAUGCGCAGAUAUCAGGAGGAACACCAGUGGCGAAGGCGGUUCUCUGGGCCUUUCCUGACGCUGAGGAGCGAAAGCGUGGGGAGCGAACAGGCUUAGAUACCCUGGUAGUCCACGCUGUAAACGGUGGGUACUAGGCGUGGGGUCCAUUCCACGGGUUCCGUGCCGUAGCUAACGCUUUAAGUACCCCGCCUGGGGAGUACGGCCGCAAGGCUAAAACUCAAAGGAAUUGACGGGGCCCCGCACAAGCGGCGGAGCAUGCGGAUUAAUUCGAUGCAACGCGUAGAACCUUACCUGGGUUUGACAUGGAUCGGGAGUGCUCAGAGAUGGGUGUGCCUCUUUUGGGGUCGGUUCACAGGUGGUGCAUGGCUGUCGUCAGCUCGUGUCGUGAGAUGUUGGGUUAAGUCCCGCAACGAGCGCAACCCUUGUUCACUGUUGCCAGCACGUUAUGGUGGGGACUCAGUGGAGACCGCCGGGGUCAACUCGGAGGAAGGUGGGGAUGACGUCAAGUCAUCAUGCCCCUUAUGUCCAGGGCUUCACGCAUGCUACAAUGGCUGGUACAGAGAGUGGCGAGCCUGUGAGGGUGAGCGAAUCUCGGAAAGCCGGUCUCAGUUCGGAUUGGGGUCUGCAACUCGACCUCAUGAAGUCGGAGUCGCUAGUAAUCGCAGAUCAGCAACGCUGCGGUGAAUACGUUCCCGGG
rnacentral:rRNA from 1 species